AGAAAACAAAAGCAGGAGGAUCACGUUACUGGACUUCAAGCUGUCUUACAAAGCUAUGAUCAUCAAGACAGUAUGGUACUGGCACAAAAACAGACACUCAGAUCAAUGGAACAGAAUAGAAAACCCAGAAAUGGACCCAUGAACAUAUGGCCAACUAAUCUUUGACAAAGCA